AGCCUCAAUAAAAAGUAAAUUUAAGUACAAGAAAGAAUAACAGGCCCAUGUUCUCUCUUCUAAAGUGGAGAAUAUAUUUAUACUUACACUACACAUAUACAAGGAAAAGAUUAGAAAUGCAAAGGUAAAGCCAAAGUGCUUCACAUACCGUCAUUCAUACGGAGAAGUGAAGUUACGGCUUUAUGGCAACAUCAAGAAGGAAACUAAUAAAUGUUCCAUUUCUGAAGAGAUUAUUGGAUCCUACAAAGAGACAGGAACGAAAGGUUAUAAUAUAAAUAGUAAUUCUUUAUAUGAGCAUAUAGUCUGUCCAAAGAUCUAUGUAUAAUGAUGAAAUUGAGAAUGUCAAUUUAAGGGCAAGCAAUUACAGUUAAUCUCAUGUCAUAGUUGUAACUCAUAUUACCAUCUGGUCAGGAAUUAAAGUGGUA
rnacentral:lncRNA from 1 species